UACGUAGGGACCGAGCGUUGUCCGGAAUCAUUGGGCGUAAAGAGCGUGUAGGCGGCCAAUUAAGUCCUGCGUGAAAUCUCGGGGCUCAACCCCGAGCGGUCGUGGGAAACUGGUUGGCUAGAGUGCGGGAGAGGAGAGUGGAAUUCCUGGUGUAGCGGUGAAAUGCGCAGAUAUCAGGAAGAACACCCGUGGCGAAGGCGGCUCUCUGGAACGGUACUGACGCUGAGACGCGAAAGCGUGGGGAGCGAACAGG
rnacentral:rRNA from 1 species